UAUGACGGGUAUCCGGCCUGAGAGGGUGAUCGGACACACUGGAACUGAGACACGGUCCAGACUCCUACGGGAGGCAGCAGUAGGGAAUAUUGCUCAAUGGGCGAAAGCCUGAAGCAGCAACGCCGCGUGGAGGAUGAAGGUUUUAGGAUUGUAAACUCCUUUUGUUAGAGAAGAUUAUGACGGUAUCUAACGAAUAAGCACCGGCUAACUCCGUGCCAGCAGCCGCGGUAAUACGGAGGGUGCAAGCGUUACUCGGAAUCACUGGGCGUAAAGAGUGCGUAGGCGGGAAGGUAAGUCAGAUGUGAAAUCCUGUAGCUUAACUACAGAACUGCAUUUGAAACUACUUUUCUAGAGUGUGGGAGAGGUAGGUGGAAU
rnacentral:rRNA from 1 species